AAUAAAUUACCUUAUCCUUGG
rnacentral:miRNA from 15 species